GCGCCCCUAGCUCAGUUGGUUAGAGCAUCUGACUUUUAAUCAGAGGGUCCCCGGUUCGAGCCCGGGGGGGCGUACCA
rnacentral:tRNA from 5 species